GUCUUGCUCUGUUGCCCAGGCUGGAGCACAGUGGUGCAAUCAUAGCUCACUGCAACCUCUGGGGUUCAAGUGGGGUUCAAGUGAUCCUCCCACCUCAACCUUCCAUGUAGCUGGGACUAGAGGUGUGUGCCACCACACCUGGAUAAUUAUUACUUUUUUUUAAUUUGUAGACACAGGAUCUCACUAUGUUGCUCAGACUGGUUCUCAAACUCCUGGCCUCA
rnacentral:lncRNA from 1 species